GAUGAACGCUGGCGGCGUGCCUAAUACAUGCAAGUCGAGCGAACGGACGAGAAGCUUGCUUCUCUGAUGUUAGCGGCGGACGGGUGAGUAACACGUGGAUAACCUACCUAUAAGACUGGGAUAACUUCGGGAAACCGGAGCUAAUACCGGAUGAUAUUUUGAACCGCAUGGUUCAAAAGUGAAAGACGGUCUUGCUGUCACUUAUAGAUGGAUCCGCGCUGCAUUAGCUAGUUGGUAAGGUAACGGCUUACCAAGGCAACGAUGCAUAGCCGACCUGAGAGGGUGAUCGGGCACGCUGGAACUGAGACACGGUCCAGGCGCCUACGAGAGGCAGCAGUAGGGAAUCUUCCGCAAUGGGCGAAGGCCUGACGGAGCAACGCCGCGUGAGUGAUGAAGGUCGUCGGAUCGUAAAACUCUGUUAUUAGGGAAGAACAUAUGUGUAAGUAACUGUGCACAUCUUGACGGUACCUAAUCAGAAAGCCACGGCUAACUACGUG
rnacentral:rRNA from 1 species